rnacentral:rRNA from 1 species
GCCAGACUCCUACGGGAGGCAGCAGUGAGGAAUAUUGGUCAAUGGCCGAGAGGCUGAACCAGCCAAGUCGCGUGAGGGAAGACGGCCCUACGGGUUGUAAACCUCUUUUGUCGGGGAGCAAAGCGAGUCACGUGUGACUCAUUGAGAGUACCCGAAGAAAAAGCAUCGGCUAACUCCGUGCCAGCAGCCGCGGUAAUACGGAGGAUGCGAGCGUUAUCCGGAUUUAUUGGGUUUAAAGGGUGCGUAGGCGGGCUGUUAAGUCAGCGGUAAAAGCCCGGGGCUCACCCCGGGCGAGCCGUUGAAACUGGCUGUCUCGAGUUGGAGAGAAGUAUGCGGAAUGCGCGGUGUAGCGGUGAAAUGCAUAGAUAUCACGCAGAACUCCGAUUGCGAAGGCAGCAUACCGGCGCCCAACUGACGCUCAGGCACGAAAGCGUGGGUAUCGAACAGGAUUAGAUACCCCGGUA